rnacentral:rRNA from 1 species
UACGGAGGAUGCAAGCGUUAUCCGGAAUGAUUGGGCGUAAAGCGUCCGCAGGUGGCUAUGUAAGUCUGCUGUUAAAGAGUGAGGCUCAACCUCAUAAGAGCAGUGGAAACUACAUGGCUAGAGUGCGUUCGGGGCAGAGGGAAUUCCUGGUGUAGCGGUGAAAUGCGUAGAUAUCUGGAGGAACACCGGUGGCGAAGGCGGCAUCCUGGACCAACACUGACGCUGAGUGAGCGAAAGCCAGGGGAGCAAACGGG